rnacentral:rRNA from 1 species
UACGGGAGGCAGCAGUGAGGAAUAUUGGUCAAUGGAGGGAACUCUGAACCAGCCAUGCCGCGUGAGGGAAGACGGCCCUAUGGGUUGUAAACCUCUUUUAGCCGGGAGCAAUAAGGGUCCUGCGGGGCCCGACGAGAGUACCGGCGGAAUAAGCAUCGGCUAACUCCGUGCCAGCAGCCGCGGUAAU